GCUGGGCAUGAUGGCUCAUGCCUGUAAUCCUAACUACUCGGAGGCUGAGGUGGGAGAAUGGCUUGAGCCUGGGAGGCAGAGGUUGCAGUGAGCUGAGAUUGCACCACUGCACUCCAGCCUGGGCAACAGAGUGAGACCCCACAU
rnacentral:SRP_RNA from 1 species